CAGAGGGUGCGAGCGUUAAAUCGGAAUUACUGGGCGUAAAGCGAGUGUAGGUGGCUCAUUAAAGUCACAUGUGAAAUCCCCGGGCUUAACCUGGGAACUGCAUGUGAUACUGGUGGUGCUAGAAUAUGUGAGAGGGAGGUAGAAUUCCAGGUGUAGCGGUGGAAAUGCGUAGAGAUCUGGAUGAAUACCGAUGGCGAAGGCAGCUUCCUGGCAUAAUAUUGACACUGAGAUUCGAAAGCGUGGGUAGCAAACAGGAUU
rnacentral:rRNA from 1 species